GAUGAACGCUAGCUAUAGGCUUAACACAUGCAAGUCGAGGGGAAACGGCAUUAUGUGCUUGCACAUUUUGGACGUCGACCGGCGCACGGGUGAGUAUCGCGUAUCCAACCUGCCCUUUACUUGGGGAUACCCCGUUGAAAGACGGCCUAAUACCCGAUGUAAUUCAUUGAUGGCAUCAGAUAUGAAUAAAAGAUUUAUCGGUAAAGGAUGGGGAUGCGUCUGAUUAGCCUGUUGGUGAGGUAACGGCUCACCAAGGCGACGAUCAGUAGGGGUUCUGAGAGGAAGGUCCCCCACAUUGGAACUGAGACACGGUCCAAACUCCUACGGGAGGCAGCAGUGAGGAAUAUUGGUCAAUGGGCGCAAGCCUGAACCAGCCAAGUAGCGUGCAGGAAGACGGCCCUAUGGGUGGUAAACUGCUUUUAUACGAGAAUAAUUUGAUGCACGUGUGCGUUAUUGCAUGUAUCGUAUGAAUAAGGACCGGCUAAUUCCGUG
rnacentral:rRNA from 1 species